rnacentral:misc_RNA from 1 species
GAUGAAGAACGUAGUGAAAUGCGAUAAGUAAUGUGAAUUGCAGAAUUCAGUGAAUCAUCGAAUCUUUGAACGCACCUUGCGCUCCUUGGUAUUCCGAGGAGCAUGCCUGUUUGAGUGUCAUUAAAUUCUCAACCUCACCAACUUUGGUUGUGUGAAGGCUUGGAUGUGGGGGUUGCAGGUCCACUUUGGUGGUCUGCUCCUCUAAAAUGUAUUAGUGGGUUAGUCCCCUUAUCUAUUGGUGUGAUAAUUAUCUACGCCGUGGAUUGGGAUGGCUAUAUAGACUUGCUUCUAACCGUCCUCACGGACAACUUUGACAUUUUUGACCUCAAAUCAGGUAAGACUACCCGCUGAACUUAAGCAUAUCAAUAAGCGGAGGA